rnacentral:tRNA from 1 species
GGGCGUUUAGCUCAGCUGGUCAGAGCGCUGCCCUUACAAGGCAGAUGUCGGGAGUUCGAAUCUCUCAACGCCCC